CCCUUAGAUGUUCUGGGCCGCACGCGCGCUACACUGAUGCAUUCAACGAGCCUAUCCUUGACCGACAGGUCCGGGUAAUCUUUGAAUCUGCAUCGUGACGGGGAUAGAUUAUUGCAAUUAUUAAUCUUCAACGAGGAAUGCCUAGUAGGCGCAAGUCAUCAGCUUGCGUCGAUUACGUCCCUGCCCUUUGUACACACCGCCCGUCGCUGCCCGGAACUGAGCCGUUUCGAGAAGACUGAGGAUUGCUGACUUGAGGCCUUCACGGGCUUCUAGUCGGUGAAAAGCAAUUUAAUCGCAGCGGCUUGAACCGGGCAAAAGUCGUAACA
rnacentral:rRNA from 1 species